rnacentral:rRNA from 1 species
AACGAACGCUGGCGGCAUGCUUAACACAUGCAAGUUGAACGCAGGAUAGGACUUCGGUUCUAUUGCUGAGUAGCAAACGGGUGAGUAACGCGUGGGAAUCUACCUUUUUGUGGGGGAUAACUGAGGGAAACUUCAGCUAAUACCGCAUAAGCUCUACGGAGGAAAGGCUUCGGCCGCAAGAAGAGGGGCCCGCGUCAGAUUAGGUAGUUGGUAGGGUAAAAGCCUACCAAGCCAAUGAUCUGUAGCUGGUCUGAGAGGAUGAUCAGCCACACUGGGACUGAGACACGGCCCAGACUCCUACGGGAGGCAGCAGUGGGGAAUAUUGGACAAUGGGGGAAACCCUGAUCCAGCAAUGCCGCGUGAAUGAAGAAGGCCUUAGGGUUGUACGGUUCUUUCACCUGUGAAGAUUAUGACGGUAGCAGGAGAAGAAGCCCCGGCUAACUCCGUGCCAGCCGCCGCAGUAA